GAUGAACGCUGGCGGCGUGCCUAAUACAUGCCAGUCGAGCGAACAGAUGAGGAGCUUGCUCCUCUGACGUUAGCGGCGGACGGGUGAGUAACACGUGGAUAACCUACCUAUAAGACUGGGAUAACUUCGGAAAACCGGAGCUAAUACCGGAUAAUAUAUUGAACCGCAUGGUUCAAUAGUGAAAGACGGUUUUGCUGUCACUUAUAGAUGGAUCCGCGCCGCAUUAGCUAGUUGGUAAGGUAACGGCUUACCAAGGCAACGAUGCGUAGCCGACCUGAGAGGGUGAUCGGCCACACUGGAACUGAGACACGGUCCAGACUCCUACGGGAGGCAGCAGUAGGGAAUCUUCCGCAAUGGGCGAAAGCUUGACGGAGCAACGCCGCGUGAGUGAUGAAGGUCUUCGGAUCGUAAAACUCUGUUAUUAGGGAAGAACAAAUGUGUAAGUAACUAUGCACGUCUUGACGGUACCUAAUCAGAAAGCCACGGCUAACUACGUG
rnacentral:rRNA from 1 species